rnacentral:rRNA from 1 species
GUGGGGAAUAUUGGACAAUGGGCGCAAGCCUGAUCCAGCCAUGCCGCGUGAGUGAUGAAGGCCUUAGGGUUGUAAAGCUCUUUCAGUGGGGACGAUAAUGACGGUACCUACAGAAGAAGCCCCGGCUAACUUCGUGCCAGCAGCCGCGGUAAUACGAAGGGGGCUAGCGUUGUUCGGAUUUACUGUGCGUAAAGCGCACGUAGGCGGAUUGGUCAGUUAGAGGUGAAAUCCCGAAGCUCAACUUCGGAACUGCCUUUAAUACUGCCAGUCUCGAGUCCGGAAGAGGUGAGUGGAACACCUAGUGUAGAGGUGGAAUUCGUAGAUAUUAGGAAGAACACCAGUGGCGAAGGCGGCUCACUGGUCCGGUACUGACGCUGAGGUGCGAAAGCGUGGGGAGCAAACAGGAUUAGAUACCCGUGUAGUCC